UUAUCUAUUCCAGAAAGAAGGGUAUAAUAAUUCUCCAAUAAACCCAAACUUGAGAUGUAAAGCUCUUUUUUGGAUCCUGUCUGGAGUUACAACU